AUGCGUUUUCAUCGUUGUCGCCCUUCUCGUUGCCCUUUACAUUUCAGUUCGCUUCAGGUCCAACAAACAUUCUGUGCCUCAUACCCUUCACACAUUCGGAGUCGCUGCGAGUUGUUCAGCAGAAAGAAAUCAUAUAGAGCUAGUUCCGAUUCCGAUCUUUACAAAAUAGUUACUUGAUUCAUUGAAAGAGAACAAGUUGAAAUCAAUGCAAUGCUUGACCCAAAAUAUGCAACAACACUUUUGAGUAAAAACGAGAGAGCAUAAAUAUAUAUUUGUAUAUGCAGAGUAGAGUAUCUAUGGGGUACAUUUACACUCACUCUCAGUCAAAAUUCGCACGCUGUUCAACACUAGAUGAUUUUGCUUAAUAGAAUGCCGCACACUUUUCAAUGUAUUCUUAUAGUCGAAUUACUUUAAGUAGAAAUAAUAAAUGAAAACACAUUUAAAGAUAGUAUUUAUAUAGAUAUGUAGCUAGAUGUAUACAUAAAGUAGAUAGAAACUUGCAGCUUUAAGCAAAAAGUAAAAGAAAACAAUAUUCGAUAAAUACAACAUUUAAACCUUGUAGACAAUUUGGCAUACAUAGUAUAUCUAUUCCUCUCGAAUUUAAACUCUCUGCCUUAUGGUUAGUUAACUUGUUCCAGAGCAUGGUUACAAGAGUAUCAAAUCUUCGGCUUGCCUGAUUAUGCUUACCGUUUCGUGUUUGCUUGUGUGUGUGUGUGUGUACUUGCAUAUGCAUGGGUAUGAGUGUGUACACAUUUUAUUUAGAUUUUAGCUGACUUUUCUUUCUGCCCUGGACUGGCCACUGGCCACAGCAACAAAAGUGCUCCAUUAGCUGCAGCCGCUGUCGCUGGCUGCGCAUUGACCUGCCCCGCGAUUGCAUUUAUUUGUUGUAGUUGUUGCUGUUGCUGUUAGCUAUGCCCUUUUUUGGAGAGUAUUACAGCACACACACACACACACACAGACACACUCACACACAAUGAUGCUGAUCAGAUGUUAUCCGACUGCAGUCACACUCUACAAAUAGGGGCAUUUUAUCUAGCAUGCAUAUGCACAUAUACACACAUACAUGCAUAUAUAUUUACGCCUGCCUCAACAAAGACUGUCGCCUGUGCCACGCCCCCCUGGCGCAGCAAUGUUAACAGCAACGCAUUGAGGCGUAACUGUCUUGUGCAUGCUUGCAUACAUAUGUUUGUAUGCAUGUGUGUGUACGCAUGUAUAUGUAAGCAUAAAGUUGUAGGUGCAUCUUGUCGCCUGCUUUCACAAUUCGUCCAUUUACCAUUUCCAUUUAUCAUGCGCGCAAUUUUACUUGACAUUAUUCAACAAUUUGCAUCGCUGCUUCCGCAGCAGCAGCAACAGCAGCAGCAGCAGCAAAACCAGCAGCAAUACGCAUUUCCGCAGCAAAAGUUUUGGCAGCAGCAGCAGGAGAAACAGAAACAACUACAACAACAACAACAACAAAAGCAACAUGGCGGCAACGAAGAGCAGCAGCAACAGCAGGAAGACAGUCAGACUUACACCCGAACACCUUUAGCCAGCCUCAUUUAUAUUACGUUACACUCGCUCUCUCACUCUCUCGCUCUCUCUAGCUCUCUUACACGCACGCACACUUACUUAUGACGACUACAAGCAAACACAAGCCGCAACAUUGCAAAAUUUGCUUGCUCACUUCCACGCGCCUGGCGUGUUGUAGUUUUUGUUGCUUUGCUGCUUCUCCAUGCAUUUUGCUUAAUUUCUCACUUGUUCCUUUUCCACAUGCACACACACACACACGAACAUGCAUGCAUGCAUGCACGCACUCACUCACUCACUCACUCACUCACUCACUCACGCAGCUGCUCUCUACCGCUCAUUUGAUUUAGUUAUUGUAGCAAUUUUAAUUACCAGCACUUGAAUGGGCGACUUUGCCUGCGCCGUUGUCGUCGCUGCCGUCGCUGCCGUCGCUGACGCCGCUGUCGCAACCGCAUCACCAAAAUAUAUAUGUAUGUAUAUUUAAAUGUAAAAGAAAUUGAAACAAUACAAAUGGCUCUGCGGAGUGACUGCUAGUCUACUUUGGCCCCUGACAACCGCCAGGGUCUGACACCUUCGUCUGUCUGUCUGUCUGUCUGUCAGCCUGUCUGUCACUGCGCUGCGCUGCGCCCACAAUUUCAAACAGCAGCAACAGCAACAAACACGUUCGUUAAAUGCUGAAUAAAUUUUCUCAUAUAAUCGUCGUCGCAGUCGUCGUCAUCGUCAUUUUGCUCCCCCUCUUUAUCCCUCACUUCGCACCCCACUCCACCCCAUCCCAACUAAAGGCAAAUGUUGUUGUUGUUUCCAUCAGCGCUCUGCUGCCGGCGUCGAUGUCGCUGCCGCUGCCACUGCCUGUGCCCGUUGCCAUCGCCGUCGCCGUCGCCGUCGCCGUCGCUUCGCACUUGGCUUCGGCUUGGAUUGGUUGAUGUCGUUUCGUUAGUUUAGUUCGGUAACUCGUCGGUCGCGCAAGCAACAACAGCUACAGCUACGGCAGACGGCUGAAAGCUGAAGCUGAAGCUAAACCAAACGCAAAACCAAUGCCAAAUGCCAAAAGCGGGCGGCAAAGCUAAGAAAAAUUACGAAAAAUUUCCUGUGCGCCGCAGAAAUAAAUUAAAUAGGAGCCGGCAAAUAUCUAAAAUGAAAUCAUUAUUCAAAUUUCAAAGUAUUUCCCGCAAGUGAGUGAGCAAAAACACACACAAAAUACGAGAAGAAGAAGAGCGACAUAAUUAAUCGUUUUAAUAUGAAAAUUUGAAUUCAAAAAUCUACAAAAGCCACAACAACAAGAGGAAGAGCCAUAAAACAACCGAGUUCCAAUUGGGAAAACGAAUAAGACGAAACAAAUUUGUUUUGACAGAAGAAGCACAAUAAUAAUUACAUUAUUAACAACAAC